UAGGAAGUCUUUGUUAUCAUGUCAAACAAAUCAAUACAUGUAAAUACUGUUGUAAUUUUUUGUGGGAAACACUCAAAACAAGAGGGUUGGAAGGUAUGUAAUCAUCUUGCUGAUCAUGAAAGAUAACUUUAUAAUAACAUGCCAAAAAAAGCUUGAUAAUUUCAGCAUAACUGUUGUGUCUAUGCAUGAAAAAAUACUAUUCUGAAAAUUCACAUUUGAACAUUGUUAUGAGAUUACAUGGGUGAAUUUAAAGAAUCAUUUGCACAAAAAAAAUAGCUUGAGCACAACCUAGAAGUGACCUACUGUUAACUUACUUUCCUCAAUCUCAACAAAAGCAUAACAUAUCAAUUAGGCAUACUAAAGGCAGCAAAAAUCUCUUUAAUUUGAUAGUUAAAAGUCCUAGUUCUCUUAAAUAAAAUUGAGAAUGGAAAUGGGUAAUGUGUUGAAGAGACAACAACCUGACCAUAGCAGAAGAUCAUCAACAGAAAUCCCCACACCCAGAGGCAUCCUUCAGCUGGCCCCUUAACAAAUAUAUUUACUAGUUCAGUGAUAAUGGACGUCAUACUAAACUCCAAAUUGUACCCAAGAAACUAAUUGAUAUUUUAUAUAUUACUCUGGAUUCAUUAAUAUUUGUUGGAUACUAACUUUCCUAGAUUUUGUGAGUACAGGUUAACCACAAAUUUAAAUGUUUAAUGGACUACAAGUUUUCUAAAGGAAUGUAUGCAGACUUUUCCAAAACCAUAAAAUUAAAUAUCCACGAACGUGCAAGUUUUCCUCAAUCCACGAAAAUUGAUACUAAAAAAAAUAAAAGAAUCCGCAGUGAAGCUCACGAUGGAAUACUUUGAAAUAAGUUUGAAGUAACAACAAUCUUUUUCGAAUAUCAGUUAGGAAUCUCAACAGAAGCUUCAACAUUUCAAGUAAAUAGAUUCAAGCAAAUUCAAGAUAAUCACAAGGGCGCUUUUUUAACUAUAUGUUCAAAUAUUCUAUACAAGUUUUAGAAUUUAUUUAAAGCAUUCUCUUGUCUUUAUAAGACAUUUGGAUGGAUAUAACGAUUAUAUAAUUGGUUUAUGUUAAACAUAUAAAACCAGUAUCAGCAUUUUCACUUCCAAAACAAAAACAAUAAAACAAUAUCAUUAAAUAAUAUCACAAACAAAUAUCUACCAAUAUAAGGAAAGUUAUCAAACAUAUAAUAAUAUCCUUAUUGUUCAAUAAUUUCCAGUUCAUACAGAAAAUCAUCAUUUGCAAUAAUCAUGUGUCAAUAAAACAAAUAUUUAUAUACAAUAAAAACAAAAAUAAAAGGUCAUAAUUUGAAAAUGGAACUUCACCUGGUUUCAAUUCCCUUCUCAAAGGCUCAAUGGAUUUUCUUUAAAGAUCUUCCUUCAUACCGGUAAUUUUACUAAAUGCAUAUUAAAUGAAACAAAAGACAUAGGCGGAUCCAGGGGGAAAAUUUGGUUGAUUAUAUAGGGAAUCAUCGAAGCAUGACUGGGGCGGCCCCCCCCUUAGGUCAGUCAGCGCCCCCCCCCCCCCCCCCUUUAGGGAAAGUUUUGAAUCCGCCACUGAAAGACUUAAUAUUAGUGCAAACAAAUCAAACACCAAACUAGAAAGAAUACCUUUCAUUCCUUACCACACUUUCAUAUAUUUCCUUUUUUCUUUUCCUUUCUGUUUAAAUCCCCUGUAUCUAUGAUUUUUCUAAAAAGGGACAGGGUUAGUGAGAUAGUCACUCUUCUUUAAUGUUGGUUUUUUUUUUUAUAUUUUACCAUCUAAUUAUCUUUCCAAUCUAAUUUUUUUCUGUGUUUUAAAAACAUAUUCAACUUAGAUUUACAUAUUUACACGCAAGAUGUACUAUUUAAAACUAAUACUUUAAUCACAGAUUUUUCUAUAUAUCACAGAUUUUUCUAUAUAUCACAGACAUUUGAAAAUUGAGCAAUUGAAAUCAAAAUUACUCAUUGUCAUUAUUGUCACUUUCACUCAUCACUCAUAUACCAUACACUCAGUCUAUUUGUUUGGUGACACUGAAAGGUUAUCAGAAAUCAUUAAUAAUAAUUAUAAUGGCAAUCAUCCUUAUCAAACACAUUUUAAAUAGAUUGCCCUUGUGCAAAUUAAACUGAAAGCUCCACCAGAUCAGCUGAACAAAAUUUUAUAAUAAUUGUGAAAAUGAAUCAAUUUCUCAAUUAUUAAUAAAAAUAUAACAGUUAAGUAAGAGAAUACAUGGUCAUGUUUUACUAAUAUUUAUAAAGCUCUAAGUAAAGGUUGUGAUCUUAUGUAUCACUUUAAAAACAAUUUUAGUCAGCCAAGCAUAAUAUGUAGGUUUGAAGGGCCUUUUUGAAAAUAUGCCUAUACAUUCGUAUAGACAAAUCUUUACAGCAAUAUGUAUGAUUUUUUUAAUUGAGAUCUGAAUUGGGAUGACAUAGGUAUAUAUAUUGUAUUAGUUUAAUAGCAUCUGGUAGAGGCAAACUAAAGAAAGAGAACAGAACUAUAGAACUUUUAAAAUGAGGCCCCAACAAUUCAAACUUGAUCAGUAUUUUGUGGUUAAAAGCAUUGUGUAUAAGUUUCAUACCAUUUGGUUGAGGCAAAUUAAAAUUAGAGAACAGAAAGGAAAAAUUUUGCUUUUUUUUCUAUUCUAACGGGGCAUUACUGUAGAACAGUUAGAGUUACAUCACCAAAAUUCAAAUUUGGUCUAUAGUUUGUGGUAAGAAGCAUUGUGUAGAGUUUCAUAAAAUUUGGUAGAGGCAAUCUAAAGUUUGAGAACAGAUACCAAUUUUGGAUGUACGUACGGACGUACACUGGAAAAACUUAAUGCCCUCUUAAUUAUGGCGGGGCAUAAAAAGACUCUAUGUUUGAGGAAAACCAUUUGCCUAUUAGAUGGACUAUAGUGUUUCACUAAGUGAAGUAAGUUUAAAGAUAACUUAUUAUCAGAGAUUCAAACAUAACAUAUCACUUUCUAUCAGAUAAAUGAGAAUAAAUGAUGUAUACAUCUAAAAAAGUAUGAUUAUUCUUUAAAA
rnacentral:lncRNA from 1 species